AUCGGUUCUCAUGGUAGAUUAAAAGGGAAUCGGGUGAAAAUCCCGGACAGUCCCGCUGCUGUAAGUUCCGACAAAAGCUCGGGCCGAACAGAGCCACUGACAACUGCCAAGGUUGUCGGGAAGGCCGCCCGCUAAGAGCUGGAACAAGUCAGAAGACCUGCCGGUGCGUC
rnacentral:ncRNA from 1 species